rnacentral:tRNA from 1 species
GCCGAGGUGGUGGAAUAGGUAGACACGCUGCUUUGAGGGGGCAGUCCCCGUUUAGGGGGUAGGAGUUCAAGUCUCCUCCUCGGCACCA